rnacentral:lncRNA from 12 species
UACUACUGACUAUAUUCUGCAUGCACUCCGGAGGUUGAACAGUGUUGCGUCAUAUGAAAGCAAAUAUAAAAGCUGAUUUCUUAAACUGUGAAAUUCUUUUGUAGUUAUAUUGUUUUUUUUUUAGAUACACUUUAUAAUCAUCUUUUUUAUACUCAACAAUUCUGUUAUCCUCACUCACAGGGUGUCGAUGGACUACCUGGAAUACCUGGACCAGAAGUAUGUACUAAGUGCAAAAACACCUAAUGCAAAAGUCCUUAUAUAAGCUAUAAUGUAUUACUUAAGUGCAGUUUUAUUUAUUAGUUAGGUUUGUUUUGUUUGUGUGUGUCUGUGUUUGCAUGUGCACAAAGGGGCUAAAAGGGGUCUUUGGCCCACAAGGUCCACCAGGACGAAUGGGACCUAAUGGAUAUAUGGGCUUACAAGGAUUACCAGGUCCAAGAGGCCUACCCGGAGACCCAGGAAGAUCACUGUCUGGACCAAAAGGAGUUGAGGGGGAACAGGGGGAACAGGGUAAACCAGGUCCGUUUGAAUAUGUGGAGCCCAACCCAGAAGACUGUUUAAAAGGCGAAAAGGGGAGGAAAGGACAGAAAGGAAUUUGUGGACCACCUGGCCCAGGGGUGAGUAUUGCUGCAUAUUUAUUUGAAUUUAUUAGUCCUAAUAACUUCUGAACUAACAUAGCAAGCCCUGAUACAGUAUGUGACCAGUGUUAGCUGAAGCGCAUUAAUGUGGUUUUACAUUAAUUUUUGUGUUUCUCAGGGUUUUGAAGGGCAUCCAGCAGAAAAAGGAGAGAAAGGCAUAAUUGGUUUACCUGGUCUCAGAGUAAGAUUAUUCACUAGUUUUCAUAUCAGUUGAUCCACUACAAACCAACACCACAAUCCAGCCAAACAUAACACCUCAAACCAACAGAUAAGACUACAAACCAUCUAAUAACAAAAAUUGAACCUCUCAUUACACUCGAAAACAAAAAAAUCAUAGACUUCCAAACCAACCAAUCAAAACAUUCCAGAAUAACCAAUUAAAAUAUCAGUAUUAAGCAUCGG